GAUGAACGCUGGCGGCGUGCUUAACACAUGCAAGUCGAACGAGAAGUGAAGACGGAAACCUUCGGGCGGAAGGCUUUAUUUCGAGUGGCGGACGGGUGAGUAACGCGUGGGUAACCUGCCUCAUACAGGGGGAUAACAGUUGGAAACGACUGUUAAUACCGCAUAAGACCACAGCACCGCAUGGUGCGGGGGUAAAAACUCCGGUGGUAUGAGAUGGACCCGCGUUCGAUUAGCCAGUUGGCGGGGUAACGGCCCACCAAAGCGACGAUCGAUAGCCGAUCUGAGAGGAAGACCGGGCACAAUGGGACUGAGACACGGCCCAAACUCCUACGGGAGGGAGCAGUGGGGAAUAAUGCAAAAUGGGGGAAACCCUGAAGCAGCGACGCCGGGUGAGUGAAGAAGUAUUUCGGUAUGUAAAGCUCUAUCAGCAGGGAAGAAAAUGACGGUACCUGAGUAAGAAGCCCCGGCUAACUACGUG
rnacentral:rRNA from 1 species